rnacentral:lncRNA from 1 species
UGUUAUAGACAGGUGUACUGCAGGAAUAAACUGUCACUAAUCAGUGUGGUGUAGAGAUGCUAGGAAUUCACAAAAGCUUCCUGGGCUUUUAGUGUAUGUUUUUAUUCCAGUUUCUGAUAAAUAUGUUUCUCAUGUCUCCCUUCAGGAGAGGGUCUAGGUUUGGGGCUGGGCAUCAGGCCAGGAGGGGUCUCCUUGGAGGGGUCUGUUUCUGUCCUGGGCACCUUGCACUGGGCAGUGCUGGGUCCUUUCUGGACACCCCUGGGGUCCAGUUCUGCACAGGAGGCCACGGAUCGGGGAGGCCCAGGCAGGGAAGAGCUCACCACACUCCUGUCUUUAAUCUGAGUUGUGUCAGGGGUGGGUUCAGUUUCCAAGAGGACUCGUGGUGCCCCGUCCAGCCCACCAGGCCUGGCUUGGUUUGACCCUCCCUCUGGGCUAAAGCAGACGGUCCUGUGGACAGUGUGAGCAGUGUGGCAGUGUGAGUGCUGAGGUACUUUUCCUGCACUCACCUCUGUGCUGUUAUUGGCAAAUACAUUAAAUUUAUAUAUCUGAUAGCCAUGAAGAUACAAACAGUAUUACACAGUUGCUUUUGACAGUCAGUUAAUAUAAGAAAUAUUCUCUUAUAUUGCCUUAUAAAUUAUGUGACAUUUACUAGAUUUGGGAGGCCAAGGAGGGUGGAUCACCUGAGGUCAGGAGUUCAAGACCAGCCUGGCCAACAUGUUGAAACCUCGUCUCUACUAAAAAUACAAAAAUUAGCUGGGCAUGGUGGCGGGCGCCUGUAAUCUCAGCUACUCACGAGGCUGAGGCAGGAGAAUCACUUGAACCCAGGAGGCGGAGGUUGGCCAGGCCGGGAUGCCAGUGGACAUGGGGCAGGAAGAUUUUUGAUCUGGAAAGUCAUCAGCUCCAAAUUCUUCAGUGUCUUCUGCCUCCCACGCCCCCAACCCAGCAAUCUCAACUCGGGGAUAGGUUUUGUUAUUAGAAGGGUCUCUCUGAGGAAGCCCAUGUCUCCAUGGCUAUGACCCAUCCCUUUCCCAGUAUCAGCACUCCUCCCCUAGAUGCCCUGCAGGUCCAGCCCAUGGUGUCAGUGUUAGGCCAGUGUUGAGUGGCCCAUUGUGGGAACCCAGAGAAACGGUGGGAAUAGAGAUAUGGCUGGACCAACCCCCUGGGUUCUCAGCAGUGCAGUCUCUAAGUCAACAAAGGAGGAGGGGGCCAGCCUGAGGGUCCAGCCCUGUUCCUUGGAGCCAGCCCUGGAAAUUUGCAGGGUGUGGCCACAGGGUGGGGGGAUGCUUGGCAUGGCCUGUGGGCAGUUGUCCAGCAGGUCUCUGAGGGCUAAAGGAGACCAGUUCUGCCACCCCACAGGGAAGGGUACAAGGGUACAGGGGCAGGAAAAGCUGUGGCCCUGGGAGGAGAAGAUGGUCAGGGCCCUGGCAUGGGCAUCUCAGAGAGAAAGCAAAGAGGCAGCAGAGCUUGCUGCUAAGGUAACCUGACCAAGCGUCUCAUGCUGAGAGGGGAUCUGAAAUCUGGUGGGAAAAACCCAGUAUGGAGUCUGUGCCUGCAGAGGUCAUUGGGAAAGUUGGGGUGGGGGUGACCCAAAGGAACUGAUGACUUUGGGAUGCAUCUGGAUGGAGCCAGCCUGGGGUGGAGUGGAUGGAUCUGGGGACGACAGUAAAUGGGGUGGGGUCGGGGCAGCGACUCACCUGGGACCCCUCAGCAGAGAGGCUUCGGUCGGUCCCCAAAGCACCCUCUGGAGACUCAGCUCCCUGCUGACUUGGUCAACACCAUGAUCAGAGGACAGAUGGGCGAGGCUGAGUCAGAGAAAAAUGGGAGGACAGCCAGGUGCCCUGUGCCAGGGCUGCUGCAGUGAAAGGGAGGAGGCUGCUGACUGAAAGCCCCAAGCACCACCUGAGGCUGGGGACUGGGUACAGGACCAUCCCAGGUGCCUGUGAAACCCUCAGUCACCCUCAUGGCCCCUGGUGCCCCCAAGCAGUGCUGAGCAGCCCAGUUAAAGAGUGGACAAGGCAGGUAUGUGGAUCUGGGUGUUCUUGCUUAGAGGUUUUGACAGCGUAAGGAUAAAAGAAGAGCCAGAGUGGCUGAAAAGACAGUCCUGGUCUUUGGGUUAGACAGGCUGGGAAAGUGAGGAAGCAGGAAGAGUCAGUGGCUCGUGUUCAGUGAGAGGCAGGUGGAUGCUAUAUGGUCAGACCCUGCAAUGGCUGUGGGGCCAUCAGGCAGGACAGGCUCCAGAUGCAUCCUCAGUUCACGGAGCAGUUUUCAGGCCAAGAUCCUUGCAUCACAGCCUGGCAAUGUCAUCACUUCUGUCCAGGCACACACCCCUGGCCAGCACUGGCCCAUCUCAAGAUUGGAGUUUCUCAGUUCCCAAAGAGGAUGCUGCCUCCAGCCCAGGAGGGGCAGCUCCACUGUGUAGCCGGAAGUCCCAUGAAUCUCAAGCAGCAUAUGCCCAGCUCUGUGCUUCCUCUGCUCCCGUUUCCCAGCCUUUUCUGUGUAUCAGCCAACAGGGAGGCUGAGACCUGGGGUGGCUGGAGGUGGAGCUGGUCCUCCCCUGGGGCCUGCUUGGGAAGGAGGAUGGCCCCCAGCCUGGUGCAGGUCCUCAGCUCUCCUCACUGCCUUCCAGUGAGACAGAGCUGCGCCUCUCAGUGCUCUAGAGGCAAAGGUAAGAGCCUGUCCCUGCUGCAUGGAAGGCUGGUCCAUCCAUGGGUGACCUGAUGGGUGGUCAGUGAUGCAGUGUGUGUGGCCUGUGGGCAUUAAUGGUGGUGAGUGGGGGCGACAUGCCCUCAAUGGAAGCGGCCACAAUUCCUGCUGAAUGGCCCCAAACCCUGUCCUGCAGUCGUUUUACCAAAGCCACCACCAAGAUUCAUGAUAGUGGCUCAGGGGUCACUGCCCACUGACCACAAGGACACCACCUGGAGGCUGAGGGUUAGGGGGCCAGUAGCACAUCCUGGGCACAGAGAGUAACAUGGUCACCACAGGUGAACUGAACUCUGGUGACCUUCCCUGGUUUCAGAUACAAGCAAAAGAAAAAAAAAUUUCUGCAGAGAAAAAGCCUCUUUUCUUUCCACCAGCACCGACUGUUACACAUUGCUCUUUGUGGCAGUGAGUCUUGUGUCUGUUCCAAAGCUGGUUCCUUCUCUUGGUCCUGCCCUUCAGAAAAUGAAAAAGAAAAACUUGCAGAGAAAGAUGUCCUCGGGGAAAAUGAACUAGACUGACCUGGACAUGAACCACAUUUUGAGAAGCCAUUUCAUAUUCUGGGAGUGCUACAGCAUCAAGUAAGGCCUUUGGGGAACAGAGGGUCCUAGAGGAAGUGGGGAAUCUAGAAGGAUGGAGGCAUCUGAGGGGCAAUGGGGAGACAUCAGGGCAAAGGUAGGGGUCUUAAAGAAGAGAGUGACAGCCCAGGACAUUUCCUGGAGUUCUAACUUUGGGAAGGGUCUGCAGUGAGGCCUGAAAUAGGGAGUUUUUCAGGAGAGCCCAGGGGGCUCUGAACACCUCUGCUCCUUCCAUGAGGACAAGAAGACACUGCACCCAGAUUUCUACCUUAAAGCACUGCUCACAGUGCUUGACUGAUGGGACAAGGAUGCAGAGGGAGAUCCCAGGCCAGGGAUCCUGCUGCCUGACACUGCCUGGCUUCCCUGGCCCAAGGUUCUGGCUCCCACAGAAAAACUCAGCUCCUUCCAGCAGGAGGCACAGGCAGGUCCCUGCAGAACACACCAACCAUGCCCUGCCUGAGAGGUGGUGUCCCAUGGCAGAGGCUGAGGCUCAGGGCCAGGAUUGUGGGCAGACUGGGCCAAGACUUAUCUUGCAAGAGCCCAGGAAAGCCCCAAAUUCUUAGGGGACCCCUUCUUCCAGAGGCCAUAUUCUGCUGAGAUGAGUCCAACCCUAUGAGGAGCUGAAGGAUCUUGUCUAAUCCAGCCUCAUGUGUGUGGGGGGAGUCUCACUCUAUGCAGAGGGGUCCCUGGCACUACAGACUGAGCUCCCAGUAGGACACUGGCUUCCAGCCUUGAAGGGCCAGGUCCUUUCGUGUCUGCUGUCCCCACAGACCCCCUUCGGGCUUAUCCUGAGGCUCUGGGACAUCUGUCUUCUGGAGGAUGAGCAUAUACUCACAGCCAGGACAUACAUGGUAUUCAAGGUGCACAGAAUCUUGCCCCGUGUGCCUGAGGGAGCUGUGGGGAACAUGCGGGACAGAUCCCGACUGUCCUGAGGGUAGCGCUCACACUGGGGUUCAGCCUUGCAAGAACCAGAUGGGCUGGGUGGAAAAGCUGACCAAGUCUGCUUGCCUUUCAGCCAAAUCUGUGGCGUUCCCCAGGAAGGCCCCUUGCCUGGAGCAAGUGUCCCUGGUGCCCAGGACUCUGCGGGCAUCCAUCAGCACAAAGACCCUCUCCAAGGGGGAUGGGCUGGCCCUCUCAGGACCACCAGCCGGUGGGUCAUCCCCCCCUCACCCAGAACCCAGGGCAGAACCUAGGCACAGAACCCAGGGGAGUAGGCUGCUCUCUGGUGGCCCCAGGGUCUCAGGGUCUGGCCAGUCUGUCCCUGGCUCAGGACACAUGCCUGGGAAUCAGGGUUACUCCUCUGCUCUUGCAUCUCCUGGGUAAACCAAUAAUGGCCCCCGGCCCACCCCCGCCACCCCGCUCAUGCCUCAACUUUCACAUCCACGGAAAAGGUGCUGGUGAGGGUGACCUUUCCAGGAAGCCACAGCCCAUGCCCACCCCUGCAAAGCUCCGAAGUCGUGCGCCGGCGGGCCAGGCAGCAGAUACUCCCAAGAGCGGCUGAACUGCGCUCCGGUUGGAGAGGGCAGAGGGCAGCAGCACAAUGGACAGCGUCUGGACCUCAGGCCAGUUCCCACAGCAGCUUAAGAAAGCAGGCGGCUCCCUGGGCUGAAGGAGGCGCGAUGCUCUGGAAAGACCCCGGGUGCAGGUGGGAGAGGAAACCGAGCUGAGGAGCAGGAGGUGGGGUGAGGAUGAGACCUGCCCGAUUUGGGCAAAGGCGAGGUGCACUUCGCAGCCACCCUUCUCACUGCCCAGCCCAGACCUGCCCCUCAAGUCCCUCUGCGGACUCGCUCCCCUCAGCCAGGGUUGGCGCAGAAUCAGUGUCCAGCAUGGCUUUGGAAGCGGAGCGGUGCACACGGCCCUGCCCCUCCCUCCGGGGCUGCGCACCACCAGGCACAUGCUAGGAUUCUAGUCCGGUAGCCCCGAGACCAACAGCCAGAAGUGGUUAAGAAACUAUUACACCCCGCCGAGCGCGGUGGCUCACGCCUGUAAUCCUACCACUUUGAGAGGUCCUUAGGUCAAGAGUUCGAGACUAGCCUGGCCAACAUGGUGAAACCCCGUCUGUACUAAAAAUAAAAAACUUAGCCGGGCGUGGUGGCGGGCAGUUGUAAUCCCAGCUACUCAGGAGGCUGAGGUGAGAGAAUCGCUUGAAGCCGGUAGGCAGAGGUUGCAGUGAGCCGAGAUCGCGCCAUUACACUACAGCCUGGGCGACAAGAGCAAAACUCCAUCUCAAAAAAAAAGAAAAAAAGAAAAGAAAAAAAAAAAACAAAAAGCAAAAACACUGCUACUCCCAGUAUGCCUGGUGAGGAGCGCACCGCACUGCCCCUCCCUGAAGGUACCAACUCCAUCCGCAAUCCCCAAUCCCAAUGCAUGCUUGGGAUUGUAGUCCGGCAACCUGUGACCAACGGCCGGAAGUGGCUAGGAGACUACUCCUCCCAGCAUGCCUGGCGAGGCGCGCACCGCGCUGGCCCUCUCUCCUGGGACACGCACCGCCUCCAAUCCUGGUUUAUGCUGGGAUUGUAGUCAGGCAGCCCUGUGAGCAAUUUUUCAGAUUAACUCUUAAGUACUCCACGGCUACAUGCUCCUGAAGCUGUUAUAGGCCCAGCCUCAGAUCUGUGCAGGGCGGAUGCACAAGAGCAGAAUCUCCGUGGACAUCUUUCUGGAGCAUCAAUUUUACUGCAAGAUUUUGAAGAAACACAUUUAAUUGAUUUUCAAGGAUUGCAGAAACCGUGAAUGAGGAGGGCUGACUCUAUCUAUGUUUGGAGUCUGUGAAUAUGAACUCUUCCUAUGUUGGUAAAUGGAAAUUUCUUUCACCAAAUGGCUGAACUGCUUUUUCACUGGCAUGUUCAAAAAACUUACAAGAAGAAGGACAAGAACUGAGAAAGAGAAAGGAUAAGAACUGAACAUUGGUGGGAGGCUGAGACAGGUGAAUCACUUGAGGUCAGGAGAGCGAGACCAGCCUGGCCAACGUGGUGAAACCCCGUCUCUACUAAAAGUACAAAAAUUAGCUGGGCAUGGCAGUGGGCACCUGUAAUCCCAGCUACUGGGGAGGCUUAGGCAGGAGAAUCACUUGAAUUCGGAAGGUGGACGUUGCAGUGAGCCGAGGUGGCACCACUGCACUCUAGCUCGGGCGACAGAGGGAGACUCCAUCCAAAAAACAAAACAAAAAAAACGAAACAAAAAACAUUGGCAAGUGGCACAUUUUCACAAACUAGAAGAGUGGACUUGUAACAAGCACUCUGAUAGAAAGUCAUGGUUCUUUCCUGCAACUGUCUUUUAAAAAUACUGUGAUUUUCAGAAAAGAAAAAAAAAAGAUAUAAUAGGUUAUAAAUUCAUUAGAGAAGAGAGAAAAUAAAUAAUCCCCAGAAGUAAAUUGUCAGCCAGUUUCAAGGUAAAAUGUAGACACAUUAUCCUUGAUCUUUCUGAAUAAUUUUACAGCUUAGGGUAUAGGAGCUUCUAUCACUGCAGAACCAGGGUCACCUGUGGAAAGUCCCUGGUGAAGUCCGCUCCCUUCCAGCCUGUUCCUCAGGCCCAGCAGUAAUGAGUUGUUCUUCCUCCAAGUCAUUCCGUUCAUUGGCAGCAAACCCUGAUAUUUUGGAUAGUAGUUGCUUUUGAUCUUAGAUUUUAACAGAAAGUUUGAUGAAAAGUCUUCAAGACUUACAAGCAUGACCCUCACUUCAGUCAGUCAGUCUGCCCCAGAGGUCCUUGAUUCAACAUAUAGAGAUGGGCAUUUUGAGCAUGUCCUUAAGGCUGAGGUGCAGCCCUAUGGCACAGACUCAUUCUGAAAGAAGCCCAAGUCCCACCCUGAGCUCUCUGUCUCCCAUGUGUGGGCUUAUCAGGGAAGACAGAAGCCCAGAGACCCCUGCACUUGGGGAUCGGCCAUAGGAGCUGCUUCCUGGGUGGGGAGAUGGGAGCUAGCAGCUCAGAAUGGGGCCAUAAGGUAAGUUCCAAACAGCUGUGUCACAGAGUAUGUCAGCAGAACUUUGUGACAUCAGUUGCAAAGAGAGGGAGCAUGUGAAGGACAAAGCCCUGAGUGAUGACAUAGCCCAUUCCGGGGAAGGGAAGAAAUUAGCAUCCUAAGGUUAUAAUAUAGAUAACCAAUGUGCAACAACUACAAUAACAAAAAUUUAACUGCCAAAGAAAAUUAGGAAUAUAGAGCAUCUCA